AUCUUGUGAAAUCCCACGGCUUAACCGUGGAAUCGCUCGGUAAACCCCAAGCCUUGAGCGCGACAGGGGCCGUCGGAACGGUUGGUGGAGCGGUGAAAUGCGUAGAUAUCAACCGGAACGCCAAAGGGGAAGCCAGACGGCUGGGUCGCUGCUGACGCUCAGGCACGAAAGCAUGGGUAGCGAACGGGAUUAGAUACCCCGGUAGUCCAUGCCCUAAACGAUGUGUACUAGGUCGAGGAGGUUUUGACGCCAUCUCGGCCGCAGCGAAAGCAUUAAGUACACCGCCUGGGGAGUACGGUCGCAAGGCUAAAACUCAAAGGAAUUGACGGGGGCUCACACAAGCGGUGGAGCAUGUGGCUUAAUUCGAGGCAACGCGAAGAACCUUAUCCUGGGUUUGACAUGGACGGAUUAGGCCCCCGAAAGGGGGUUCGACGCUCUCACGAGUGGAACGUUCACAGGUGCUGCAUGGCUGUCGUCAGCUCGUGCUGUGAAGUGUCGGGUUAAGUCCCUUAACGAGCGAAACCCCUGCCGUUAGUUGCCAGCAUUCAGUUGGGGACUCUAACGGGACCGCCGGUGUCAAACCGGAGGAAGGUGGGGACGACGUCAAGUCAUCAUGGCCUUUAUGCCCAGGGCUGCACACGUGCUACAAUGGCAUGGACAGAGCGAGGCGAUACGGCGACGUGGAGCAAAUCGCACAAACCAUGCCCCAGUUCGGAUUGUAGUCUGCAACUCGACUACAUGAAGUUGGAAUCGCUAGUAAUCGCGUAUCAGCUACGACGCGGUGAAUAAGUU
rnacentral:rRNA from 1 species